AGAGAGUAUAUAAUAUAAAGCGACGGAUUCAGAAUGGUUCAAUACAUUAUCACAAAUUACAGUAAGAAUUUAAAUACAUUAGAUCAUAUAUAAAAAAAUAUAAAUAAAAAAAAUUACAUAACAUUAAAAUUCAAAAUAAAAAAUACACAGGCCAGAACCUUUAAGGCCUCCUGAAUCGGCCACUGAUUAUUUAUCGUUCCCA
rnacentral:lncRNA from 1 species